rnacentral:rRNA from 1 species
UACGUAGGGGGCUAGCGUUGUCCGGAAUCAUUGGGCGUAAAGCGCGUGUAGGCGGUUCGGUAAGUCCGCUGUGAAAGUCGGGGGCUCAACCCUCGAAAGCCGGUGGAUACUGGCGGGCUUGAAUCCGGGAGAGGGAUGCGGAAUUCCAGGUGUAGCGGUGAAAUGCGUAGAUAUCUGGAGGAACACCGGUGGCGAAGGCGGCAUCCUGGACCGGCAUUGACGCUGAGGCGCGAAAGCUAGGGGAGCAAACGGG